rnacentral:rRNA from 1 species
AUUGAACGCUGGCGGCAGGCCUAACACAUGCAAGUCGAACGGUAGCACAGAGAGCUUGCUCUCGGGUGACGAGUGGCGGACGGGUGAGUAAUGUCUGGGAAACUGCCCGAUGGAGGGGGAUAACUACUGGAAACGGUAGCUAAUACCGCAUAACGUCGCAAGACCAAAGUGGGGGACCUUCAGGCCUCACACCAUCGGAUGUGCCCAGAUGGGAUUAGCUAGUAGGUGGGGUAAUGGCUCACCUAGGCGACGAUCCCUAGCUGGUCUGAGAGGAUGACCAGCCACACUGGAACUGAGACACGGUCCAGACUCCUACGGGAGGCAGCAGUGGGGAACAUUGCACAAUGGGCGCAAGCCUGAUGCAGCCAUGCCGCGUGUAUGAAGAAGGCCUUCGGGUUGUAAAGUACUUUCAGCGGGGAGGAAGGCGGUGGAGUUAAUAACUUCACCGAUUGACGUUACCCGCAGAAGAAGCACCGGCUAACUCCGUGCCAGCAGCCGCCGCGG